rnacentral:rRNA from 1 species
CCUACGGGUUGCAGCAGUAGGGAAUCUUCCGCAAUGGACGCAAGUCUGACGGAGCAACGCCGCGUCAGUGAAGAAGGUUUUCGGAUCGUAAAACUCUGUUGUUAGAGAAGAACAAGUGCUAGAGUAACUGUUAGUACCUUGACGGUAUCUAACCAGAAAGCCACGGCUAACUACGUGCCAGCAGCCACGGUAAUACGUAGGUGGCAAGCGUUGUCCGGAUUUAUUGGGCGUAAAGCGAGCGCAGGCGGUUCCUUAAGUCUGAUGUGAAAGCCCCCGGCUCAACCGGGGAGGGUCAUUGGAAACUGGGGAACUUGAGUGCAGAAGAGGAGAGUGGAAUUCCAUGUGUAGCGGUGAAAUGCGUAGAUAUAUGGAGGAACACCAGUGGCGAAGGCGACUCUCUGGUCUGUAACUGACGCUGAGGCUCGAAAGCGUGGGUAGCAAACAGGAUUAGAUACCCCCGUAGUC